AGUGAACGCUGGCGGCAGGCCUAACACAUGCAAGUCGAACGGCAGCACAGGGGAGCUUGCUCCCUGGGUGGCGAGUGGCGGACGGGUGAGGAACACAUCGGAAUCUGCCUAUUUGUGGGGGAUAACCUCGGGAAACCGGGACUAAUACCGCAUACGACCUACGGGUGAAAGCCGGGGACCUUCGGGCCUGGCGCAGAUAGAUGAGCCGAUGGCGGAUUAGCUAGUUGGAGGGGUAAAGGCCCACCAAGGCGACGAUCCGUAGCUGGUCUGAGAGGAUGAUCAGCCACACUGGGACUGAGACACGGCCCAGACUCCUACGGGAGGCAGCAGUGGGGAAUAUUGGACAAUGGGCGCAAGCCUGAUCCAGCCAUGCCGCGUGAGUGAAGAAGGCCCUCGGGUUGUAAAGCUCUUUUGUUGGGAAAGAAAAGCAGCCGGUUAAUACCCGAUUGUUCUGACGGUACCCAAAGAAUAAGCACCGGCUAACUUCGUGCCAGCAGCCGCGGUAA
rnacentral:rRNA from 1 species